GUGGGGAAUAUUGGACAAUGGGCGCAAGCCUGAUCCAGCCAUGCCGCGUGAGUGAUGAAGGCCCUAGGGUUGUAAAGCUCUUUCACCGGAGAAGAUAAUGACGGUAUCCGGAGAAGAAGCCCCGGCUAACUUCGUGCCAGCAGCCGCGGUAAUACGAAGGGGGCUAGCGUUGUUCGGAAUUACUGGGCGUAAAGCGCACGUAGGCGGAUAUUUAAGUCAGGGGUGAAAUCCCGGAGCUCAACUCCGGAACUGCCUUUGAUACUGGGUAUCUCGAGUAUGGAAGAGGUGAGUGGAAUUCCGAGUGUAGAGGUGAAAUUCGUAGAUAUUCGGAGGAACACCAGUGGCGAAGGCGGCUCACUGGUCCAUUACUGACGCUGAGGUGCGAAAGCGUGGGGAGCAAACAGGAUUAGAUACCCGGGUAGUCC
rnacentral:rRNA from 1 species